rnacentral:rRNA from 1 species
GACGAACGCUGGCGGCGUGCUUAACACAUGCAAGUCGAACGGAAGGGCCUCAGCUUGCUGGGGUACUCGAGUGGCGAACGGGUGAGUAACACGUGGGUGAUCUGCCUUGCACUCUGGGAUAAGCUUGGGAAACUGGGUCUAAUACCGGAUAUGAACUGCCUUUAGUGUGGUGGUUGGAAAGUUUUUUCGGUGCAAGAUGAGCUCGCGGCCUAUCAGCUUGUUGGUGGGGUAAUGGCCUACCAAGGCGUCGACGGGUAGCCGGCCUGAGAGGGUGUACGGCCACAUUGGGACUGAGAUACGGCCCAGACUCCUACGGGAGGCAGCAGUGGGGAAUAUUGCACAAUGGGCGGAAGCCUGAUGCAGCGACGCCGCGUGGGGGAUGACGGCCUUCGGGUUGUAAACUCCUUUCGACAGGGACGAAGCUUUUUGUGACGGUACCUGUAGAAGAAGCACCGGCUAACUACGUG